rnacentral:rRNA from 1 species
AGUCGAACGUGAAAGCACUUCGGUGUGAGUAGAGUGGCGGACGGGUGAGUAACGCGUGGGAAUCUACCCAGUAGUGGGGGACAACUACCGGAAACGGUAGCUAAUACCGCAUACGCCCUAUGGGGGAAAGGCUUCGGCCGCUAUUGGAUGAGCCCGCGUCAGAUUAGCUAGUUGGUAGGGUAAAGGCCUACCAAGGCAACGAUCUGUAGCUGGUCUGAGAGGACGAACAGCCACACUGGGACUGAGACACGGCCCAGACUCCUACGGGAGGCAGCAGUGGGGAAUAUUGGACAAUGGGCGAAAGCCUGAUCCAGCAAUGCCGCGUGUGUGAAGAAGGCCUGCGGGUUGUAAAGCACUUUCAGUUGGGAAGAUGAUGACGUUACCAACAGAAGAAGCACCGGCUAAAUCCGUGCCAGCAGCCGCGGUAAUACGGAUGGUGCGAGCGUUAAUCGGAAUUACUGGGCGUAAAGCGCGCGUAGGCGGCUAAGUCAGUCAGAAGUGAAAGCCCCGGGCUCAACCUGGGAAUUGCUUUUGAUACUGCUUAGCUAGAGUUUGGUAGAGGAUAGUGGAAUUCCAGGUGUAGCGGUGAAAUGCGUAGAUAUCUGGAGGAACAUCAGUGGCGAAGGCGACUGUCUGGACCAAAACUGACGCUGAGGUGCGAAAGCGUGGGUAGCAAACAGGAUUAGAUACCCUGGUAGUCCACGCCGUAAACGAUGUCAACUAGCCGUCGGGUCUAUUUACAGACUUGGUGGCGAAGCUAACGCGAUAAGUUGACCGCCUGGGGAGUACGG